GAUGAACGCUAGCGGCAGGCCUAACACAUGCAAGUCGAGGGGCAUCAUGGCGUAGCAAUACGCUGAUGGCGACCGGCGCACGGGUGCGUAACGCGUAUGGAACCUACCCACCGCAGGGGAUAACCCGCCGAAAGGCGGACUAAUACCCCAUGGUUCCCCGACCCUGCCUGGGGUUGGGGGUAAAGCCUACGGGCGGCGGUGGAUGGCCCUGCGUGCCAUUAGCUGGCUGGUGGGGUAACGGCCCACCAGGGCGACGAUGGCUAGGGGGUCUGAGAGGACGAUCCCCCACACUGGUACUGAGACACGGACCAGACUCCUACGGGAGGCAGCAGUGAGGAAUAUUGGUCAAUGGGCGGAAGCCUGAACCAGCCAUGCCGCGUGCAGGAUGACGGCCCUAUGGGUUGUAAACUUCUUUUAUAAGGGAAUAAAGUUCGCCACGUGUGGUGAUUUGUAUGUACUUUAUGAAUAAGGAUCGGCUAACUCCGUG
rnacentral:rRNA from 1 species